AUACGGAGGGUGCAAGCGUUAUUCGGAAUCACUGGGCGUAAAGGACGCGUAGGCGGGUUGGCAAGUCAGAUGUGAAAUCCUACAGCUUAACUGUAGAACUGCAUUUGAAACUGCUAACCUAGAGUAUGAGAGGGGGAGAUGGAAUUAGUGGUGUAGGGGUAAAAUCCGUAGAUAUCACUAGGAAUACCGAAAGCGAAGGCGAUCUCCUGGAACAUAACUGACGCUAAGGCGUGAAAGCGUGGGGAGCAAACAGAAUUAGAAACACUAGUAGUCC
rnacentral:rRNA from 1 species